GCGCAUGCACUUAAGAGGCAGCGCUGGGGCAGCACUGGGUACUGGCAAGAUGUCGACGGCAGUGGUCCCUGAGUUGAAGCAGAUCAGCAGAGUGGAGGCGAUGCGCCUGGGGCCAGGCUGGAGCCACUCGUGCCACGCCAUGCUGUAUGCUGCAAACCCCGGGCAGCUCUUUGGCCGCAUCCCCAUGCGCUUCUCGGUGCUGAUGCAGAUGCGUUUCGACGGGCUGCUGGGCUUCCCCGGGGGAUUCGUGGACCGACGCUUCUGGUCGCUGGAGGACGGACUGAACCGAGUUCUGGGCCUGGGCCUGGGCUGCCUGCGCCUCACAGAGGCCGACUAUUUGAGCUCGCACCUGACCGAGGGCCCGCACCGCGUCGUGGCGCACCUGUACGCGCGGCAGCUGACCCUGGAACAGCUGCACGCCGUGGAGAUCAGUGCGGUGCACUCGCGCGACCACGGCCUGGAGGUGCUGGGGCUCGUGCGGGUCCCACUGUACACCCAGAAGGACCGAGUCGGUGGCUUUCCCAACUUCCUGAGUAAUGCUUUCAUCAGCACAGCCAAGUACCAGCUCCUCUUUGCCCUCAAGGUGCUCAACAUGAUGCCCGAGGAGAAGCUGGCUGAGGCCUUGGCUGCGGCCACGGAGAAGCAGAAGAAAGCCCUAGAGAAGCUGCUCCCAUCUUCCUCCUGAGGUUGCGCUCACAGUCUGCAGGCAGCUCUGGGAGGUAGUCUGGCAGCACUGGCCGAGUGUGUGGAAUGACAGCAUAAGAGCCACGUGGGACAGGAAGGUCACCACUGGCAGUCUCCUACAGCCUUAUGUCUGGAAAGACUCCUCAGUGAAGCUACCAGUUUCCACAGUGCCAACCUGGCCUGCACGUGAGCUGCCCUGCUCCCUGCCUUCACUGUCCUGUCUCCCACCCUGGCUGCUGCUCGUGGACUCUGGGCGUCUGUCUCCACGGCUGCGUCCUUCACUGCAGGUCGCUCUCGGUGAGGGUCAGGAAGAUGCGGAGGUCCACGUCCUGCUCCUCGAACACCUGCAGGUACUUUAGACAGCCGAUCUGCUCCAGCAGCGUGGCCAGGUCCUAGGGGGCAAGGAGCCAGCGUGGUG